rnacentral:rRNA from 1 species
AGCGAACGCUGGCGGCAGGCUUAACACAUGCAAGUCGAGCGGGCAUCCUUGUGGUGUCAGCGGCAGACGGGUGAGUAACGCGUGGGAACGUGCCCUUCGGUUCGGAAUAACUCAGGGAAACUUGAGCUAAUACCGGAUACGUGCGAGAGCAGAAAGGUUUAUCUGCCGAAGGAUCGGCCCGCGUCUGAUUAGCUAGUUGGUGAGGUUACGGCUCACCAAGGCGACGAUCAGUAGCUGGUCUGAGAGGAUGAUCAGCCACACUGGGACUGAGACACGGCCCAGACUCCUACGGGAGGCAGCAGUGGGGAAUAUUGGACAGUGGGGGCAAGCGUGAUACAGCCAUGCCGCGUGAGUGAUGACGGCCUUAGGGUUGUAAAGCUCUUUUCUCCGGGACGAUAAUGACGGUACCGGAGGAAUAAGCCCCGGCUAACUUCGUG